GACGAACCGUGCGAACGUUAUUCGGAAUCACUGGGCUUAAAGGGCGCGUAGGCGGGCUGUCAAGUCUGGGGUGAAAUGCCGCGGCUCAACCGUGGAACUGCCUUAGAUACUGACGGCCUCGAGGAAGGUAGGGGCAUGCGGAACUGUAGGUGGAGCGGUGAAAUGCGUUGAUAUCUACAGGAACUCCGGUGGCGAAAGCGGCGUGCUGGACCUUUUCUGACGCUGAGGCGCGAAAGCUAGGGGAGCGAACGGG
rnacentral:rRNA from 1 species